AGAGUUUGAUCCUGGCUCAGGACGAACGCUGCCGGUGUGCUUCACACAUGCAAGUCGAACGAGGUAGCAAUACCUAGUGGCGGACGGGUGAGUAACGCGUGGGAAUCUGCCUUAAGAUGGGGGAUAACGGGCCGAAAGGCUCGCUAAUACCGCAUAUGCCGAAAGGUGAAAGGAGUAAUCCGUCUUAAGAUGAGCCCGCGUCCGAUUAGCUAGUUGGUAGGGUAAAGGCCUACCAAGGCGACGAUCGGUAGCUGGUCUGAGAGGAUGAUCAGCCACAAUGGGACUGAGACACGGCCCAUACUCCUACGGGAGGCAGCAGUGGGGAAUUUUACGCAAUGGGGGAAACCCUGACGUAGCGACACCGCGUGAGCGAAGAAGCCCCUUGGGGUGUAAAGCUCUGUCAGCUGGAACGAAAAAAUGACGGUACCAGCAGAGGAAGCAUCGGCUAACUACGUGCCAGCAGCCGCGGUAAGACGUAGGAUGCGAGCGUUGUCCGGAUUUAUUGGGCGUAAAGAGUUCGUAGGUGGUUUGUCAAGUCUGAUGUUAAAGAUCGGGGCUCAACCCUGGGACUGCAUUGGAUACUGGCAGACUUGAGUGUGGUAGAGGCUAGUGGAAUUCCCAGUGUAGCGGUGAAAUGCGUAGAUAUUGGGAAGAACACCGGUGGCGUAGGCGACUAGCUGGGCCAUAACUGACACUGAGGAACGAAAGCCAGGGUAGCGAAUGGGAUUAGAUACCCCAGUAGUCCUGGCCGUAAACGAUGGAUACUAGGCGUAUCGGUAUCGACACCUGAUGUGCCGCAGCUAACGCGAUAAGUAUUCCCCGCCUGAGUAGUACGGCCGCAAGGCUAAAACUCAAAGGAAUUGACGG
rnacentral:rRNA from 1 species